CUUCUUCUUCUUCUUUUUCUUCUGCACAGAUAUGGCGUCGAGAGUCUGUGUUUUUAUUUUAACCUAAUAUUUUUGUAAGAUACGCAUGUCCAAAUCCAGAAACACGAUUCCCAUUUCCAGAAAUUCUGGAAACAGCCCAGAAACACCUUCCCGGCGUGUCAUCUCGUUUCCAUGUCAGAAACAUUUCCAACACGGGUAAACGCUGCCCAUUCCCAUUUCCGUGCAUCAUAGUCUCUGAGCUCCUUACCAAGGCCCUUUAACGUAUAGUAAAUUCUUCUAAAACAAAUAUGAGGCAUAACUCAACAGUAUCAAUUUCUUCAGUGUUUUUCUACCCCAUAAAGGAAGAGGUAGGGACUAGGGAGGUUCAUUAGGUCUUCUUUCAAAAAUAAAAAGUAAUGUAAAUGUUAAAGAUUCUACUCCAAUAUUGUUUCCUUUUAAAUAUUUUAAAUAAAUAUUUUAAACUCAGAAAGUGAAAUAUAAUCCAAAACUCAACAAUAUCAUCCUUUAUUACUGAAGAUUUUAAAUUGCCAAAAAGCAUAAUUCUCAAAACAAUAGUUCAGAUGCAUGAUAGGAGAAGUGAAUAGUGGGGUGCAUAAGAAGUUGAGAACAGAAGAGAAAACAAAUAACAAGUUCCAAAAUGAAUUUUCACAAUGGAUACCACAUCAGUUUGACUUUUCAAUUAAAAAAAAAUUCAGAACAAAAAAAUGUAGGAUUAUUAGUUAAACAAAAAGGUGAAAACUAGCCAAGCAGGCUUUUAAAUAUCAGUAAUAAACAUAUUAUUUAUUAAUUAUGCAAAUAAAUGUCAUUUCACAAUCUAGGGCUACCUGGGUUCUCAUUUCACAAUCUAGGGCUACCUGGGUUCUCAUUUCACAAUCUAGGGCUACCUGGGUUC
rnacentral:misc_RNA from 1 species